rnacentral:rRNA from 1 species
GACGAACGCUGGCGGCGUGCUUAACACAUGCAAGUCGAACGGAAAGGCCCUGCUUUUGUGGGGUGCUCGAUUGGCGAACGGGUGAGUAACACGCGAGUAACCUGCCCUUGUCUUUGGGAUAACUUCAGGAAACUGGGGCUAAUACCGGAUAUGAGCUCCUGCUGCGUGGUGGGGGUUGGAAAGAUUCGGCGGUGGGGGAUGGACUCGAGGGUUAUGCGCUUGUUUGUGGGGUAGGGGCUGACCAAGGCUUCGACGGGUAGCCGGCCUGAGAGGGUGACCGGGCACAUUGGGACUGAGAUACGGACCAGACUCCAACGGGAGGCAGUAGUGGGGAAUAUUGCACAAUGGGCCGAAGCCUGAUGCAGCAAUGCUGCGUGCGGGAUGCCGGCCUUCGGGUUGUAAACCGCUUUCGCCUGUGACGAAGCGUGAGUGACGGUAAUGGGUAAAGAAGCACCGGCUAACUACGUG